rnacentral:rRNA from 1 species
CGCCUCUUGCAAAAUAAAAAUAAGAGGUCCUGCCUGCCCUGUGACCCUGUGUUCAACGGCCGCGGUAUUUUGACCGUGCGAAGGUAGCGUAAUCACUUGUCUUUUAAAUAAAGACCUGUAUGAAUGGCAAGACGAGGGCUUGACUGUCUCCUUCCUUUUAUCAAUGAAAUUGAUCUCCCCGUGCAGAAGCGGGGCUAAAACCAUAAGACGAGAAGACCCUAUGGAGCUUCAAAUACUUAAAUAAUCCUUUGCUCAAACCCUGUUUAAACCACGGUAAGCAAUAAGCUAAUUAAUUAACUAUUUUUGGUUGGGGCGACCACGGGGAAAAAAGUAACCCCCGUGAAGAUUGAGGUCACACCUUAAAGCUAAGGACUCCUAUUCUAAGCAGCAAAAUCUUUGAGUUACGAUCCGGCAAAGCCGAUCAACGGACCUAGUUACCCUAGGGAUAACAGCGCAAUCCCCUUUAAGAGUCCUUAUCGACAAGGGGGUUUACGACCUCGAUGUUGGAUCAGGACAUCCUAACGGUGCAGCCGCUGUUAAGGGUUCGUUUGUUCAACGAUUAAAGUCCU